rnacentral:rRNA from 1 species
GUCCACGCCGUAAACUAUGGACACUAGGUGUGGGGGGUAUCGACCCCCUCCGUGCCGAAGCUAACGCAAUAAGUGUCCCGCCUGGGGAGUACGGCCGCAAGGCUAAAACUCAAAGGAAUUGACGGGGGCCCGCACAAGCAGCGGAGCGUGCGGUUUAAUUCGUCGCAACGCGAAGAACCUUACCAAGGCUUGACAUGCUAGUGGUACCAAUCCGAAAGGUGCGGGACCCUUCGGGGAGCUAGCACAGGUGCUGCAUGGCUGUCGU